ensembl:snRNA U6 U6 spliceosomal RNA
GUGCUCACCUUGGGUAAACAUACUAAAAUUAGAACCAUACAAAGAAGAUUAGCAUGGCCCCUAUGCAAGGAUGACAGACAAAUUCGUGAAGCAUUCCAUAUUUUG